UGGAACACACCACAAUCCUUCCUCAUCCCUUGCUGCUGCAGGAAUCUCCCGUUCUGCGUGUUCUGGGCUCCUGUUGUGCUUCCAAAGUGGUGUAACUCUCCAUUCCUGUUGGCAUCAUCUGAGAUUGAGUCCUCGGGAACAUAUGGAGUGCACGGAGUGAGAAUGGAUUCCGUGAUGCUCUUCGUGUCUGCUGGCUGGGAAGUAAUUGCAGCAGAAAAAGAAGAAAUCACCAACUUGUACUGGCAUGUUCUUCUGCCUGCUUAGAUUUAUAAAUUUUCCAUCAGAAGACUUUAAAACACUUCUGGGAGGUGGAUAUCAUUGUCCUGUUCUUAUAGAAAAGGAAACUGAGGCAGAAGGAGACAGAAUGACUUUUGCCACAGUCACACUGGAAAUCACUGCAGAGGCAGAAGGGAAUCCUGAUUUUCCCAGAUCCACAUCAGAUCCUAAUCUACUACUGGUCUGGCCUAUUGGAGGCCAGAUUUAAAUUGAUAUAAAACUCUGUAUGUG